CAAUAGCGUAUAUUAAAGUUGUUGCAGUUAGAACGCUCGUAGUCGGAUUUCGGGGCGUUCCGACCGGUCUGCCGAUGGGUAUGCACUGGCCGGAGUGUCCUUUUUGCCGGAGACCGUGCCUACUCUUAACUGAGCGGGGGCGGGAGACGGCACUUUUACUUUGAAAAAAUCAGAGUGUUUCAAGCAGGCAGCUCGCUCUUGCAUGGAUUAGCAUGGGAUAAUGAAAUAGGACUUUGGUGCUAUUUUGUUGGUUUCGAACACCGAAGUAAUGAUGAGAAGGGACAGUCAGGGGCACUCGUAUUCCGCAGAGAGAGGUGAAAUUCUCAGACCCGCGGAAGACGAACCACUGCGAAAGCAUUUGCCAGGGAUGUUUNCACUGG
rnacentral:rRNA from 1 species